AGGGAAUCUUCCACAAUGGACGCAAGUCUGAUGGAGCAACGCCGCGUGAGUGAAGAAGGCUUUCGGGUCGUAAAACUCUGUUAUUGAAGAAGAACGUGUGUGACAGUAACUGGUCAUGCAGUGACGGUAUUCAAUCAGAAAGUCACGGCUAACUACGUGCCAGCAGCCGCGGUAAUACGUAGGUGGCAAGCGUUGUCCGGAUUUAUUGGGCGUAAAGCGAGUGCAGGCGGUCUUUUAAGUCUGAUGUGAAAGCCUUCGGCUUAACCGAAGAAGGGCAUCGGAAACUGGGAGACUUGAGUGCAGAAGAGGAGAGUGGAACUCCAUGUGUAGCGGUGAAAUGCGUAGAUAUAUGGAAGAACACCAGUGGCGAAGGCGGCUCUCUGGUCUGUAACUGACGCUGAGGCUCGAAAGCGUGGGUAGCAAACAGGAUUAGAUACCCUGGUAGUCCACGC
rnacentral:rRNA from 1 species